AGCGCUUAAAACCACAGUGGAAAAGCCACAUGCUCCUGAUACACUUGGGGGGACAUAAAGGGAAACCCACACACCCAAGGAGGAGGGCUCUGGCCAUGCAAGGCUGAAGGCCCAGUGUACUGAUAUGAAAACUGAAGCUCAGACAGAAGAGGCGACGUUGCUUUCUUAACCACUGGAUUUGCAGUGCUGUGGUUCUCAGAAGAGGCCAGGACAGGUUAAUCCACUCACUUGGGAGGCAGAUGUCUACAUAUUUACUGAUAUAAGAAGACACUGAGAUAUUGCCCAAUGGAAACUGCAUCUUCAAAACAGCAUAUAUAUUACAAUUCCAUUUUCAAAACUGAUGGACAUAAUUGAAAAAUUAUUCCUGAUUUGAUCCAGAAGCUCAAAUACCAUCAUAUAAAAUUAUUUAAAAGUCCAGAAAAACAGAUGCAAUUAACAUUAAGAGUGGUGUUCUCUGGACUGUGAUUUUGGUUUUCUUUAUAAUUUUCUGUAUUUUCUAAAAUGUCUAAAACAACGAAGUAUUAAAAGUGAGAAGAAAAUGAGUUAACUGAAUCUUCUAUUGAAAGAUUUUAUUUUGGUGCCUCUUGACAAUCAGAGAGCUUCAGCAUGUAAAUUUUCUAGUGAUGUGGUAUGGAAUAAACUUCCAUUUACCAUGAUAAUUUCAACUUUUCUUACCUCACUUUUCAUACAGGACUUUGCAUUAAUCUCACCACAGUAAAUUUGUUUUUCCCACAUUUUUUUUUUCUUUCUGUGGUCUCAUGUUUUCUAAUUAUUUAAAGAGAAGCACUCAUUCUUUACUUGGACAAAAUAUUAUUAAUAUCCCCACCAUUUGGGAUGAUAUUUUUAUAGGGUAUUAUAAUAGGUUUUUAUGUAUGAAUUUGACUAUUAAAUUGAAAUAAUUUACACUAAAUACAGAUAGAAAGAAUAACUUAUUUAAUCAGACCAGAUGAUAUGAUUAAAGGUUGAAUGUACAGCUGGUAUAAAAAUGGUGCUUUGUCGUCAUGAAGAAGGUGUAUUCUGGGAUCAAACCACCUGGCUGGAGAUGCUUACUAACCUCAGUUUCUUCAUCUGACCUUACCUUUCUAAAAGAAUAAGAAGAAGAUGAUACAUAUUCCUCUAAAGUCCCAACAGGAACCUUUUCCCCUCACUCCCUCCCCAGAGAUGUGUAUCAUUUCCAUGAGUGUCUGUACUUUUACAACAUGUGCAUAUUAAUAAACAAAAUAUGACAAAUUAUUUUGUCUUAAUAUUUGCAUAAAUCUAGCCAUACUCUACACCACUUUUGCAACUUUCACUAUUAUAUAUUUUGAAGAUUAUCCGUGUUUAUGCACAUAAGUUUAUCAUUUUAACUGUUGAAUAGUGUUUCAUUAUAUGAAUUAACCAUAAUUCAUCUAUUUCCCUGAGUGACAAUUAGGUUUCUUUUUGUUUUUAUGCUCUGAUGAACAAUCUUGCAAUUAUUAUCUUUGUAUAUGUCUUCAUGUAUAAGAAAUUCUCCAGGGUAGACACUUAGAAGUAAAGGGUCUGACUCAGAGAGUC
rnacentral:lncRNA from 1 species